GGGAUUCAAUGAGGUAUGCAAAAAAUUGUUUCUUAAUGAUUCUACAAAUUUAAAUGAUGAUUAAUUAGAUUGAUUUUCGUUACUUUCCCAGUUUUUAUUGAUUUUCAUGACUUUUCGAGAUUUGAUUCAUAUUUGUGACUUUUGAGAUUUUAUUUAUUAUCAUGACUUUCCCUGUUUUUUAUUCAGUUUCAUGCUUUUUUGAGAAUUUGUUCAUUCUCACGACCUUCCAUAUUUUUAUUUUUUGUUCAUGACUUUUUGAGAUUUUUUCAUGUUCGUGACUUUUGAGAUUUUAUUUGAGAAAUCAUGUUCGGUGAUUUUCACUUAGAGUCGAAAUAUUGUUCAGUAGCCUAAUAUAUAAAAAAGAGAGAGAAAAAACCUUUUCUUUCUUGUUCUUUUAAUCCGCGUUUUAUCAAGCGCUGUAGAACUGAAGGUGAGAAUCUGAAAGAACGGGAUUCAAUGAGGUAUUUAAAAAAUGUUUCUUCUAAAUGAUUCUACAAAUGUAAAUGAUGAUUAAAAUGUAAAAUGUCAUCUUUACCUCUAUGGUAGUAAAGGUUGACAAUCACACAAUGUCACCAAGACAUGUUUAUGAAACCAAAUAUCUGUCUUGAUGACAGGAGCUUCGAGUGCAGAAAAAUGACAAAGGGAUUUACAGACAGAGAAAUAAAACAAAGGCAAACUGAAGAGGAUCCAGCAAGGGGCCAGUGAUGUCCUUCGUGUAGGCCAACAUCAGUUAUCAGUUCAGGUAACAACAGUUUUCAGGAGCACUGUGGAAUAGAGUUCCUCUUAUCCCUCAUCAUUUUCUUGACACAACUGAAGAGGUUUUUUUCUUCUCUCCGUUGAACUUUUUCAGGAGGAAUCACUUGGCCCGGCUCGCUAGAUCCACCUUUCCAUGAUCCCCCCGUCAGCAUGGGAUGAUUGUCAUGAAACUCUUCCCAUGAUUUCAAGUGCUGCAUCAGGAGGAUGUUGUGAAAAAACAUGUCAGGAUACCUGAUCACUUCAGAGAACAAAACUGCACAUAGUGCAAUGGCGUCUUGGGGAGUCUGUAUAUAACGGUCGACUUUGGCGAGGUUCCCAUUCAUGUAGGACCAAACUGUCUCACUAAAAUGUUUAUUGAACUCUUUUGAUGUUUUCAGUGUUGCAUAACAAA
rnacentral:lncRNA from 1 species